rnacentral:tRNA from 1 species
CGGGACGUAGCUUAGCCUGGUAGAGCGCCUGCUUUGGGAGCAGGAAGUCGUGAGUUCGAAUCUCUCCGUCCCGACCA